rnacentral:tRNA from 1 species
GCUUGGGUGGCUCAGUCGGUUAAGCAUCUGACUUUGGUUCAGGUCAUGAUGUUGCAGUUGGUGAGUUUGAGCCCCACUUCGGGCU